UCCCUGGUGGUCCAGUGGUUAAGACUUUGCACUUCCAAUGCAGGGGGUAUGGGUUCAAUCUCUGGUUGGGGAA
rfam:TPA: Bos taurus chromosome 24, whole genome shotgun sequence.